rnacentral:rRNA from 1 species
AGAGUUUGAUCAUGGCUCAGAACAAACGCUGGCGGCGUGCCUAACACAUGCAAGUCGUACGAGAAAGUCCGUUUCGGCGGAUGAGUAAAGUGGCGCACGGGUGAGUAACGCGUGGAUAAUCUGCCCCUCAGUUGGGAAUAACUCAUCGAAAGGUGGCUAAUACCGAAUAACGCUAUUCUUCGCAGGAAGAAUAGCCAAAGAUAGCCUCUGCUUGCAAGCUUUCGCUGAAGGAUGAGUCCGCGUACCAUUAGCUAGUUGGUAGGGUAAUGGCCUACCAAGGCGACGAUGGUUAGCUGGUCUGAGAGGAUGAUCAGCCACACUGGAACUGAGACACGGUCCAGACCUCCUACGGGAGGCAGCAGUGGGGAAUUUUGCGCAAUGGGGGAAACCCUGACGCAGCAACGCCGCGUGAGUGAUGAAGGCUUUCGGGUCGUAAAGCUCUGUCAGAGGGGAAGAAAUGGAACUGGCUAAUAUCCAGUUUUCUUGACGGUACCCUCAAAGGAAGCACCGGCUAACUCCGUGCCAGCAGCCGCGGUAAUA